AAGGAUUUAGCUUAAUGAAAGCGUUUGACUUGCAUUCAGAUGAUGUAGGAUAUCCUGCAAUCCUUA
rnacentral:tRNA from 1 species